CAAUGUACUUUACUGUUGCCAUACCAGGGACCUCAAUGUCUUGCUUUAGAUAUCUAGGAAAGAAAAGGUGAUGUUAGAAAAAUUACUAGAUGUCAACCAAAAACUUUUACCUGUUUUUUCAGGUGCCAAACUUAAAUUUCUUCGAUUUGAACUAUAAUUUUAAUGCCUUAAUUAAAUAGACUAAUAUACUAGACAGAAGAUAAUUAAAGAAACAAGUAAAAAGAAGAUGUUUCAUAUUGACUGUGUUGUCAGUGAGUGUUUUUAUGGCGUUUCUAGCAGUCUACCUACACUAACAUUUACUUUAUCUCUCUUUUUUUGCAAUGAUCAUGAAUAAAAUAACUUGAAUUAACUCCUUUUCUUUACAGUUGAAGUAUUUGCAAAGGUUUCAUCAACAACAAGAGACACGACAACCACAACGACGACCGUCAGUAACACAAAGACACAACAAACAUCUACUUCGUCCACCACCACCGAGGCCACAGGUUUUCAGGUUAAUGACUGGAGAAAUUUCAUCAUCGGCGCUUUGGUUAUGUUGGUCAUCGCUCUGGUCGUCAUCUCUGUGUGUAGGCCGACGAAAGGACGAAGGGGCGAAGCUGGUGAGUUUAAAUGUGUAAACCACAGUGUAAACAAAUAAAUCAAGUUAUUUGUUGGGUCUAAAAUUAUUCUGUAUUCACUAUGGUUUAUUAAAUUAAUCGGGAUCUCCGCCAUAUUUAGCUUGAAUGGAAGAAAGUUAUGGGUAAUCAACAUUCCUGAUAAAAUACCGACUUGUAGUUCUACCUUAGUUCCACGAAUAUGGAAUUUUAUCAGCCAUCUUCGGGUAGCUUAUCGACACACCUCGAUUCCGAUAAGAGACUCGGUAAACAGCUUGAAUACUAACCAGCAGCAGUGAUGGAGGACGAGUACGAGUGAUGGAAGGAUGCUGCACGGUUCUCCCCGAGUAAGCGUGAGGCAUUUUUUUCGUUACAUAAGUUUAUUUACUAAGGAGACUACUUUAAAAAGUAAUUUUUUGUCAAAUUAGUUCAUUUUGUUGAACGGUAAGGUUUCUUAUCAUCACAAUGUUGAUGGCACGAUUUUUAAGAAAUCAGUAACUUUGUUAAACU